CUACAUUUCCUCUAAGGCAGCCAGGAUGUGACUGUCUCUACACAGUCUGUUUAUCUGUGAUGAAAGACAUGCAUGUGUUGUACUUUUAGGUGGGAGGUGGAAAGUCUGGUCAACAAGCUACAGACACUGAAUAAUCCUCAGCGCACCCAGAAAGUCUCAUUGAUGACUGCUUGUUUGGGGUUGUAAUAAUAGUCAGCAUGAAGACUAAAGUGGAGGAGUGUCUGUGAUAUGGCCGCCACCACAGACAAACACCUGACGUCUCCUACCCUCAGUUCACAGCCUACCUCUUCCUCACCCCAACCACCCUGACAAUCCUGGCCAGCAGAGCAAGUUCAGCUGCUCCACUCUGUCCUCGACCGCCAGCACGCUUCUCUGACAAGGACCUUGACCCAUCUCUGAGGAACCACAGGCAAGAAUGCAAGACAGACCUCCCCCUCCGCCUCGUGUCAUUGGAGGCCAGCCGGCUUAUACCGUCCAUCGGAUACUGGAUUCCCGCCGGGUGCAGCGGUCCUGGCAUUAUCUGGUGGACUGGGAAGGCUACGGUCCCGAGGAGCGCUCCUGGGUUCCUGCCAAAGACAUCCUGGACCCUGACCUCAUUCGUCAGUUCAGGGCCCUCCACCCUGAGAGAGCUGGUAGGAACGUCAGGAGCCGUUCCUAGGGGGGGGGAUUCUGUCAGGAUUUGGCCAGGGUUGUUCCGGGUUUUGGUCACUAGAUGCCCCCAUUGUGCUUUUUGACCUUAUGUUUUUUUCCUUGUUCCCCAU